CCUACGGGGGGCAGCAGUGGGGAAUAUUGCACAAUGGGGGAAACCCUGAUGCAGCGACGCCGCGUGAGUGAAGAAGUAUUUCGGUACGUAAAGCUCUAUCAGCAGGGAAGAAAAUGACGGUACCUGACUAAGAAGCCCCGGCUAACUACGUGCCAGCAGCCGCGGUAAUACGUCGGGGGCAAGCGUUAUCCGGAUUUACUGGGUGUAAAGGGAGCGUAGACGGCAGCGCAAGUCUGGAGUGAAAUCCCAUGGCUUAACCAUGGAACUGCUUUGGAAACUGUGCAGCUAGAGUGCAGGAGAGGUAAGCGGAAUUCCUAGUGUAGCGGUGAAAUGCGUAGAUAUUAGGAGGAACACCAGUGGCGAAGGCGGCUUACUGGACUGUAACUGACGUUGAGGCUCGAAAGCGUGGGGAGCAAACAGGAUUAGAUACCCUAGUAGUC
rnacentral:rRNA from 1 species